GGGGAGGGGCAGGAGGCAGGAAUGUCCAUCUGCCUCCACCUCAGCAGAGGGCAAGCAGCCAUGUGAGGUGCAGUCUCCCUCCCCUAAGGACUCUCACUCAACCUUGGAAGAAGCGGGGUGAGCUGUGGCUGGCUUUUCCGAUUCUUCUCCUGUUACAUCAAGUUCUCCUUCUGUAGGAUUGGAAGAAAGACACCUCAGAGCCCCAUGUACUGAAAGGAAGAGACAUUCUUGCUACAGGAACGCAGAUUGUGGAAAAGCAAACUCUGAAGAGCCCGCUUUGUGGAAGGGAGAUUGAUAUGUGAGGGAACAGACAGACAAGGAUGGUGGGAACACGAGGUUAAGAGAAUAAUUCUAUAAAAUGGGCCCACUGUGCUGACUCUCACAUGCUUUCUUUUCCAAGAAGCAAUUUACCUGCAGCCCUCCCUGCCUGGCCUCUGUGAACAGGAUAUGUUGCAUUCCUCAGCAAACUACCUGUUCACUGCAGGAGAAAUGCAGGCCCCAAAUAAUGCUGAUAAGAGGAACCCAUGUUACUGACUCCCAAGGAGACUUCUGUGCCCAGAUCCUGAAACUCUGGGAGAUAAGGAUAGUUCCUCCGAACCAUAAAAUCUCUAAGAAUGUAUGGUUAAGAAUCCAAUUAGAACUGCUCAGCAUGGGCGAAAGUGACCUAGAGCUGCCAUGACAGUGGAGACUUGAAAGUCUGAUGUCACCCUGCUGUCAGUCAAAAGUCAAGAGGUGGACCUGGGCAGGACUCUCUGGAAAGUUCCCUGGGAUCACCAACAAAACUGGAAUGCAGGAGAGGUACAUUGUCCCUCUCCUCUCUGAGAGGAUCCACUCUCUGCCUUGAGAGUAUCCCUUUCCCUUUUCCUAUACCUUUAAUAAACUCAU
rnacentral:lncRNA from 1 species